GAUGAACGCUGACAGAAUGCUUAACACAUCAGCAAUUGAUUGGUGGCGGACGGGUAAGUAACGCGUAAAGAACUUGCCUCACAGGUAGGGACAACAUUUGGAAACGAAUGCUAAUACCUAAUCCUGUGAGAGAGCUUUGCGUCCCAUUAUCUAGUUGGAGAGGGAACGGCUCACCAAGGCGAGGAUGGGUAGCCGGCCUGCGAGGGUGAUCGGCCACAAAGGUACUGAGACACGACCCGUAGUGAUACGUGAGGCAGGAGUGAGGAAUAUUGGACAAUGGACCAAAGUCUGAUCCAGGAAUUCUGUGUGCACGAUAAAGUUGUCGGAAUGUAAAGUGCUUUCAGUUGAGAAGCGGUACCAACAGAAGAAGUGACGGCUAAAUACGUGCCAGCAGCCGCGGUAAUAC
rnacentral:rRNA from 1 species